ACACGUAGAUAAUUUGCCCUUAGGUGGAGGAUACCCUCGGGAAACUGAGAAUAAUACUCCAUAGAUCUAGACUGCUGGAAUGCUUUUAGAUUGAAAGAUUUAUCGCCUAAGGAUAAGUCUGCGGACUAUCAGGUAGUAGUCAGGGUAAAUACCUGACUAGCCUAUGACGGAUACGGGUAGUGAGAGCUUUAGCCCGGAGAUGAUAUCUGAGACACGAUAUCAGGCCCUACGGGGCGCAGCAGGCGCGAAAACUUCGCACUGUGCGAAAGCACGACGAGGGGAUCCCAAGUGCUGGCUCGUAAGAGUCAGCUGUUUCUCUGUCUAAAAAACAGGGAGAGUAAGAGCUGGGUAAGACGGGUGCCAGCCGCCGCGGUAAUACCUGCAGCUCAAGUGGUGGCCGCUAUUAUUGGGCCUAAAACGUCCGUAGCCGGUUCUAUAAAUGCCUGGAUAAAUCGUACGGCUUAACCGUACGAAUUCCGGGUAGACUGUUUAACUUGGGACCGGGAGAGGCUAGAGGUACUCCUGGGGU
rnacentral:rRNA from 1 species